UAUGGCCAUAUCACAUUGAAACACCAGUUCCCAUAUGAUCAUCGAAAUUGAACAACAUCAAUCCUGGUCAGUAUCUAGAUGGGUGACCACUUGGGAAUACCAGGUGCUGUAAG